rnacentral:lncRNA from 1 species
GCCUUACAUGGUAAAUAUGUAGUUCUGUGUGUUUUAUUUCUGAAACUGAAAUGCUCUAAGCCCUGACAGAUUUAUUUCUGUGCUUCUCCAGACAGUAAUGGCUGUGUCUACUCUUCAGGACCUUGAGAGACAAGGAGAAGGUCUUUUUUACAAUAAGCAUUCUACCGUGCGCCCCAAGGUUGACACAGGAGGGAAGUUCAGCAAAAGAAUAUCCUCUCUCUACAUAUGACAGCAGACUUGUAUGCAGCCCAGAGAAUAUCUUCUUUUUUCUUGGUGGGUAUUUUAUUUGCCUAAUAGAUCAUACAUUUCUUGAGGGUAAGGUUUUCUUCUUUUUUGUCCUUGUAUUACUAUCACCUAACAUAGAAUAUAGCACAAAGUAAGCAACUGAUAAUUGCUUGCUAAACUAAAUUUAAUUGGUAGUGUGUAUUUUAGUAGUAAAUAGUACUGAUUUAUUUAUUAGCUUCAUUAUCUCUCUUGGUGAUGUAUAUAUUUAAGUUUCAAAUAUAUAUAUAUAUGAAA